rnacentral:rRNA from 1 species
UACGUAGGGUGCAAGCGUUGUCCGGAAUUAUUGGGCGUAAAGAGCUCGUAGGCGGUCUGUCGCGUCUGCUGUGAAAACUCAGGGCUUAACCCUGAGCUUGCAGUGGGUACGGGCAGACUAGAGUACUGCAGGGGAGACUGGAAUUCCUGGUGUAGCGGUGGAAUGCGCAGAUAUCAGGAGGAACACCGGUGGCGAAGGCGGGUCUCUGGGCAGUAACUGACGCUGAGGAGCGAAAGCCAGGGGAGCAAACGGG